UACGAAGGGGGGCUAGCGUUGCUCGGAAUUACUGGGCGUAAAGCGCACGUAGGCGGCUUGUUAAGUCAGGGGUGAAAUCCUGGAGCUCAACUCCAGAACUGCCUUUGAUACUGGCGAGCUUGAGUUCGGGAGAGGUGAGUGGAACUGCGAGUGUAGAGGUGAAAUUCGUAGAUAUUCGCAAGAACACCAGUGGCGAAGGCGGCUCACUGGCCCGAUACUGACGCUGAGGUGCGAAAGCGUGGGUAGCAAACAGG
rnacentral:rRNA from 1 species